rnacentral:rRNA from 1 species
GAUGAACGCUGGCGGCGUGCCUAAUACAUGCAAGUCGAGCGAACAGACGAGGAGCUUGCUCCUCUGACGUUAGCGGCGGACGGGUGAGUAACACGUGGAUAACCUACCUAUAAGACUGGGAUAACUUCGGGAAACCGGAGCUAAUACCGGAUAAUAUAUUGAACCGCAUGGUUCAAUAGUGAAAGACGGUUUUGCUGUCACUUAUAGAUGGAUCCGCGCCGCAUUAGCUAGUUGGUAAGGUAACGGCUUACCAAGGCAACGAUGCGUAGCCGACCUGAGAGGGUGAUCGGCCACAAUGGAACUGAGACACGGUCCAGACGCCUACGGGAGGCAGCAGUAGGGAAUCUUCCGCAAUGGGCGAAAGCCUGACGGAGCAACGCCGCGUGAGUGAUGAAGGUCUUCGGAUCGUAAAACUCUGUUAUUAGGGAAGAACAAAUGUGUAAGUAACUAUGCACGUCUUGACGGUACCUAAUCAGAAAGCCACGGCUAACUACGUG